rnacentral:rRNA from 1 species
AGCAAUCCUAGUGGCGAACGGCUGCGUAACACGUUGGUACCUGCCCCGAACUCAGGGAUAACCCUCCGAAAGGAGGGCUAAUACCGGAUGGUCGCGCGAGCGUAAAGCUUCGGCGGUUCGGGAGGGGCCUGCGGCCUAUCAGGUAGCUGGUGAGGUAACGGCUCACCAAGCCUAUGACGGGUAGCUGAUUUGAGAGAAUGAUCAGCCAGAAUGGAACUGAGACACGGUCCAUACUCCUACGGGAGGCAGCAGUGAGGAAUCUUCCGCAAUGGGCGAAAGCCUGACGGAGCGACACCGCGUGAAGGAUGAAGACCUUUUAGG